ACUCCUACGGGAGGCAGCAGUGGGGAAUAUUGCACAAUGGGCGCAAGCCUGAUGCAGCCAUGCCGCGUGUAUGAAGAAGGCCUUCGGGUUGUAAAGUACUUUCAGCAGUGAGGAAGGCGGGUACGUUAAUAGCGUGCUCGUUUGACGUUAGCUGCAGAAGAAGCACCGGCUAACUCCGUGCCAGCAGCCGCGGUAAUACGGAGGGUGCGAGCGUUAAUCGGAAUUACUGGGCGUAAAGCGCAUGCAGGUGGUUUGUUAAGUCAGAUGUGAAAGCCCGGGGCUCAACCUCGGAAUUGCAUUUGAAACUGGCAGACUAGAGUCUUGUAGAGGGGGGUAGAAUUUCAGGUGUAGCGGUGAAAUGCGUAGAGAUCUGAAGGAAUACCAGUGGCGAAGGCGGCCCCCUGGACAAAGACUGACGCUCAGAUGCGAAAAGCGUGGGGAGCAAACAGGAUUAGAUACCCUGGUAGGAUAGCG
rnacentral:rRNA from 1 species